rnacentral:rRNA from 1 species
UACGGGAGGCAGCAGUGGGGAAUAUUGCACAAUGGGCGCAAGCCUGAUGCAGCCAUGCCGCGUGUAUGAAGAAGGCCUUCGGGUUGUAAAGUACUUUCAGUCGUGAGGAAGGUGUUAAGGUUAAUAACCUUAGCAAUUGACGUUAGCGACAGAAGAAGCACCGGCUAACUCCGUGCCAGCAGCCGCGGUAAUACGGAGGGUUCGAGCGUUAAUCGGAAUUACUGGGCGUAAAGGGCACGCAGGCGGUUAAUUAAGUUGGAUGUGAAAUCCCCGGGCUUAACCUGGGAAUGGCAUUCAAGACUGGUUAGCUAGAGUCUUGUAGAGGGGGUAGAAUUCCAUGUGUAGCGGUGAAAUGCGUAGAGAUGUGGAGGAAUACCGGUGGCGAAGGCGGCCCCUGGACAAAGACUGACGCUCAUGUGCGAAAGCGUGGGGAGCAAACAGGGAUUAGAUACC